rnacentral:rRNA from 1 species
GUAGUCAUAUGCUUGUCUCAAAGAUUAAGCCAUGCAUGUCUAAGUAUAAGCAACUAUACUGUGAAACUGCGAAUGGCUCAUUAAAUCAGUUAUCGUUUAUUUGAUAGUACCUUACUACUUGGAUAACCGUGGUAAUUCUAGAGCUAAUACAUGCGAAAAACCUCGACUUCGGAAGGGGUGUAUUUAUUAGAUAAAAAACCAAUGCCCUUCGGGGCUCUCUGGUGAUUCAUAAUAACUAAACGAAUCGCAUGGCCUUGCGCCGGCGAUGGUUCAUUCAAAUUUCUGCCCUAUCAACUUUCGAUUGUUGAGUAGUGGUUAACAAUGGUUUCAACGGGUAACGGGGAAUGA